AUUGGACCUGAUAUCAGGCAAGAUUACCGCG
rnacentral:rRNA from 1 species